rnacentral:rRNA from 1 species
UGCCUUACACAUGCAAGUCGAACGGUAACAGGUCUUCGGAUGCUGACGAGUGGCGAACGGGUGAGUAAUACAUCGGAACGUGCCCGAGAGUGGGGGAUAACGAAGCGAAAGCUUUGCUAAUACCGCAUACGAUCUCAGGAUGAAAGCAGGGGACCGCAAGGCCUUGCGCUCACGGAGCGGCCGAUGGCAGAUUAGGUAGUUGGUGGGAUAAAAGCUUACCAAGCCGACGAUCUGUAGCUGGUCUGAGAGGACGACCAGCCACACUGGGACUGAGACACGGCCCAGACUCCUACGGGAGGCAGCAGUGGGGAAUUUUGGACAAUGGGCGCAAGCCUGAUCCAGCCAUGCCGCGUGCAGGAUGAAGGCCUUCGGGUUGUAAACUGCUUUUGUACGGAACGAAAAGACUCUGGUUAAUACCUGGGGUCCAUGACGGUACCGUAAGAAUAAGCACCGGCUAACUACGUGCCAGCAGCCGCGGUAAUACGUAGGGUGCGAGCGUUAAUCGGAAUUACUGGGCGUAAAGCGUGCGCAGGCGGUUAUGUAAGACAGAUGUGAAAUCCCCGGGCUCAACCUGGGAACUGCAUUUGUGACUGCAUAGCUAGAGUACGGCAGAGGGGGAUGGAAUUCCGCGUGUAGCAGUGAAAUGCGUAGAUAUGCGGAGGAACACCGAUGGCGAAGGCAAUCCCCUGGGCCUGUACUGACGCUCAUG